rnacentral:tRNA from 1 species
GCCCUCGUAGCUCAGGGGAUUAGAGCACCGGCCUCCGGAGCCGGGUGCGCAGGUUCGAAUCCUGCCGGGGGCA